CGGUGGCUCCUCCCUUCAGUUACUUUCUGGAACAGCACUGUUUAGGAACCGGUUAGAGCCCUGCUUGGGUCAGAAUGAAGGAAGGGUCUAGAACCAUCGUAGGAAGCUUGCUGGUAAAGGUGGUUUGGAGACUGCAAGUUGAGUCACUUUCCCCCAUUGAAAAAUUUCACCUCAGGUUUUAGUGUGUGUCUCCUGAUUACAGGUUGCUGUUCAACUUCCUUUUCCUUGUUUUCCCGGACUUACUCUCCUGAUUUGCAUAAUUAGUGUGCGUUGUGGGCUAAUUGUAUAUCACAGCUGCUCCUAUUUGGGGCUAUGUAGCUAGGCUUCCUGCAGCUCUUAAGUCUCGACCUGAUUUUAUUCUGUUUUGUGUGAUUUGUAUUGUUUUCUGUAUUGGUGUUUUCUUCCUUACCAGACUUGAAUUUCUUCAAGACAGAACAUCUUAAAUAUAUAUUUUUGUGUCGUCCAGAGUAGAGGAGGAAGAAAAGAAGAGACGUCUUCAUCUUUAAACUGACCAGCCCCUGGAGAAAGCUCUGCCCUCCACUCCAGGCUUCCCGGGGCCCGGAGCAUAGCAGAUGCCCAGCACGUGCCUGCUCCUUGAUUGGUAUACCUCUGUCUUCUUAACCUGCAGGCACUGAACAAUAUAGAGAAUGUUUUUUGACUCGGCUUUAUGGAAAAAACUCUGGUGUCUCCUGAAGCGGUCUUGAAUGAAGCAAUUCCCGGGGAAACUCGGGCACGUAGCGAGUAGCUAUUGAUGCUUAACUGAUGAGAUCUGUUACAGCCACACGUUGUCACUUUGGAGUGUCAGAGACACAUAUGAUGAAUAUUUUUACAUACAUGCUUAGUAGCAAGCAGGCAAACCCCAGGUGUUUAUAAUUGAGUUGAACUUGUAUGCAGGCAUUUAAAGUGAUGCAGUUGUCAGGUUGUAAGGUGAAAUGUGAAUAUUUGAAGCUAUUCAGGGUUUUAAUUUGACAGCUGUUUUAUAAAUGGACCAGAAGGAAAGAAGUUGUUCUUGUGUAAGAAAUCAGUGUGAGAAAAAUGAUAUUUCUUCACAUAUUUUAAUGGAUGAUUGCUUGCCAGCUGCCUAAUGGGGCAGCCCCUUGGAUGCCCUCUGGGAAGGAUGAUCUGAAUGCAUAUAAAAAAUGUCUCAGUGAAAUUUCUGACACACAAAUCAUAUGUAGGAGAUAGCAGAAAAUAUUUCAAGACAAGAAGAGACUUGUGAGAGAAUGGAGUCCCCGUCCGAAACCUUGGCAGUUUUAGGGCAAGUUAGAAUCAUUGAAUGUCUCUUAGCUAUCAGUUAUUAGAGUCGUUAGCUACUGGUCUAGACCCACUCUCUUGACUUGGCUAUUGAAAUAUUAUUCAUCAUAUUAAUAAUUGGCAAAAAUUCCAGAAAGUUCAGCCUCCUUCAAAAUAGCAGUCGGAAACUGAAGAUACAAUGAACCCUUGGCAUAUCUGGGUAAUUAAUGAUUACUUACAUAUGAUAAUAUGAUUUAAAAGCAGGAGUGAUCUUUAAAAGUAAGCCUUUAAAAUUUUUGUGAAUAAUUAUUACAGGAGAAUACCAUUUCCCUAUGAUUUCCCUCUGCAUCAUUAACCCACACCCUUAUUUAUGUAUCCUGAAAAUUGUUAAUGUCAAAUCACUUAGGGAAAAAAAAAAUCAGUUGUUACAUUCAAAGAGUUAAGAAAAAAGAUCUCAGACUUCAAUAAUUUAUUCUUUUCUUCACUUUCAAAUUAAAGUCAUCUCAUAAAAAUGCCA